rnacentral:rRNA from 1 species
CCUACGGGAGGCAGCAGUGGGGAAUAUUGGACAAUGGGCGAAAGCCUGAUCCAGCAAUGCCGCGUGAGUGAUGAAGGCCUUAGGGUUGUAAAGCUCUUUUACCAGGGAUGAUAAUGACAGUACCUGGAGAAUAAGCUCCGGCUAACUCCAUGCCAGCAGCCGCGGUAAUACGGAGGGAGCUAGCGUUGUUCGGAAUUACUGGGCGUAAAGCGUACGUAGGCGGUUAUUCAAGUCAGAGGUGAAAGCCUGGAGCUCAACUCCAGAACUGCCUUUGAAACUAGAUAGCUAGAAUCUUGGAGAGGUGAGUGGAAUUCCGAGUGUAGAGGUGAAAUUCGUAGAUAUUCGGAAGAACACCAGUGGCGAAGGCGACUCACUGGACAAGUAUUGACGCUGAGGUACGAAAGCGUGGGGAGCAAACAGGAUUAGAUACCCUGGUAGUCCACGCCGUAAACGAUGAUAACUAGCUGUUCGGGCUCUACGAGNUGUGUGNGCAGCUACGACAUAAGUUAGUCGUCCGUGGGAGGUACGGUCGGCGAAGUAAGUUAAACGUAACGUUAAAGAAAGUUAGUUACGGACGUAGAGACGUUGCGACGGACGACGACGAGGGAGGAGG